rnacentral:sRNA from 1 species
GCCAGGUGCGAUGGCACACGCGUGUAAUCCCAGCAGCUUGGGAGGCUGAGACAGGAGGAUCACAAGUUCAAAGCCAACCUCAGCGAAAGUGAGGCACUAAACAACUCAGUGAGACCCUGUCUCUA